rnacentral:snRNA from 1 species
CUGCUCAUUUCAGCAGCGUGUAUACUAUAUUUGGAACUAUCCAGAGAAGAUUACAGAAUACAGAGAUUAGCUCCUGCUCAAGGAUGACUUGCAAAUUCAUUAUAGCAUAAUAAAGAUAU